UACGGGAGGCAGCAGUGGGGAAUAUUGCACAAUGGGGGGAACCCUGAUGCAGCGACGCCGCGUGCGGGAUGACGGCCUUCGGGUUGUAAACCGCUUUAUUGGGGAGCAAGCGUGAGUGAGUGUACCUUUUGAAUAAACACCGGCUAACUACGUGCCAGCAGCCGCGGUAAU
rnacentral:rRNA from 1 species